GUCAUCAUAUUUUUAAAUAUCUACAUAUACAUUUUUGCAGCCAUUUUAACAAAUAAAUCAUAGAGUUGGACUUAUUUACAACCCAAUGCCAUUAAUAUUAAAUCUUUUUCCAAAAUAAUUA
rnacentral:sRNA from 1 species